CGCCCUUCAGGCCUAACACAUGCAAGUCGUACGCGAAAGGGGAAACCAGCUUGCUGGGGACCCCGAGUAGAGUGGCGAACGGGAGCGUAACACGUGAGGAACCUGCCUCGGAGUGGGGAAUAACCCAGAGGAAUCUGGGCUAACUCCGCAUGAUGCAGCGGCCCCGCAUGGGGACAGUUGUUAAAGACCGCCUCUGCUUGCAAGCGGUCGCUUCGAGAUGGCCUCGCGGCCUAUCAGCUAGUUGGCGGGGUAAUGGCCCACCAAGGCGACGACGGGUAGCCGGCCUGAGAGGGUGUCCGGCCUCAUUGGGACUGAGACACGGCCCAGACUCCUACGGGAGGCAGCAGUGAGGAAUCUUGCGCAAUGGGCGAAAGCCUGACGCAGCGACGCCGCGUGAGGGAUGAAGGCCUUCGGGUUGUAAACCUCUGUCAGGGGGGAAGAACCUGGAGCCGGUGAAUAACCGUCUCCACUGACGGUACCCCCAGAGGAAGCACCGGCUAACUCCGUGCCAGCAGCCGCGGUAAUACAGGGGGUGCAAACGUUGCUCGGAAUCAUUGGGCGUAAAGCGCACGUAGGCGGUCUGUUAUGUCGGAUGUGAAAGCCCUUGGCUUAACUGAGGAAGUGCAUCCGAAACUGGCAGGCUAGAGUACUAAAGAGGGUCGCGGAAUUCCCGGUGUAGAGGUGAAAUUCGUAGAUAUCGGGAGGAACACCGGUGGCCAAAGGCGG
rnacentral:rRNA from 1 species